GCAAAGACUGGCGGUUGUUGGGGAGGUGGAGGGGCGCACAGAACAUCAGCAUGAUGGAACUAACAAGAUCAUGAUUCUGCUGAAAGGUAAUCACCUCACCUGCUUUACCCAGCAACUGAAUGAUGAGCACCUGAGAGGCUCCAUUAAAAACUCAUGUUGGUUCAUCAUUCUCUUGUCAGUUUUUUGGACCAUUGUUCUGAAAGAAAUGGAUAUACGGAUGAAUGGGCGUGUAGAGAAAGAUGGAUGGUGACUGGAAGGUAA